CUCCAUGAAUCAAAUUCUGGUUUCUGUCUGCAACUAUCGAACACACCUACAUCAUUACCAGCUAGUCACUGUGACAAAUCGUGUUUUACUAAUCGGUGUAAUAACAUAAUGCAAUUCCUCCUGUGUGACUACUUUUGAGGAAUUUUAACACUAUAAAUUAUGAAGCCGUUUGAGAGAGGGCAUUAAAAUGGAACUAAUGUGAAU